CCAUCCUUUGUUUAAUUAACCGGCAACCUGAUAUGAAAUUGAAAUGUAUUAAAAAUAUUGAGAAUUAUUAAACUUUUUUUUGUUGUUGUUUAAUCUUUAACCAUUCAUCUUCUCCACUCACCAUCUCACUGUAAACCAAGAUUCAAAUUUGUCUUCCUAAAGCUUUGAGAUGUCGACAAACUCCAAAACAAGGUUGCCUUUUUCUGCAAUAUCGAACAUUAUUCACGAGACUAAUCACAUGUUGUCUGGGUUUUAACCAAAAAAAAAAACGCAGACCCAACAAACUUAGGAAAACGACGAUGUUCAAUUUCAAGGUGUUCAAGCUUUCAUCAAUGUCGUGGGAACGAACACAUGGCCAAAUCCUCUGUUUUGGUUUACUGGGUUAGGUAGUUGCUGGUGAGAUUAAAAGUGAAGAAAUAGAUGGACUGAAUUGAAAAAGAACAUUUUUUGGUAACGCGAAAUCCAUUGUAACACGUGAAGCAGCAACACGUUUUGUCUUGUUCAGAUCUGGUACUAUGUUUGAAAAAGCCAAAGAACUAUUUGUGUAGAAAUUAAUUCUUACUAGUACUUAGAUCUAUCAUUAACUUUAACACAUCAAAGAUGAAGAAUAAAAGUACUGUGUUUGUUUCUCAUGGCAAAUCGGUAGACACCAUCGGUGUCUUGGAGAAGAUGAUACAACAACUAAAUUCUAAUUAAAAAAAAAAAAAAGC
rnacentral:lncRNA from 1 species